rnacentral:rRNA from 1 species
GAUGAACGCUGGCGGCGUGCCUAAUACAUGCAAGUCGAGCGAACGGACGAGAAGCUUGCUUCUCUGAUGUUAGCGGCGGACGGGUGAGUAACACGUGGAUAACCUACCUAUAAGACUGGGAUAACUUCGGGAAACCGGAGCUAAUACCGGAUAAUAUUUUGAACCGCAUGGUUCAAAAGUGAAAGACGGUCUUGCUGUCACUUAUAGAUGGAUCUGCGCUGCAUUAGCUAGUUGGUAAGGUAACGGCUUACCAAGGCAACGAUGCAUAGCCGACCUGAGAGGGUGAUCGGCCACACUGGAACUGAGACACGGUCCAGACUCCUACGGGAGGCAGCAGUAGGGAAUCUUCCGCAAUGGGCGAAAGCCUGACGGAGCAACGCCGCGUGAGUGAUGAAGGUCUUCGGAUCGUAAAACUCUGUUAUUAGGGAAGAACAUAUGUGUAAGUAACUGUGCACAUCUUGACGGUACCUAAUCAGAAAGCCACGGCUAACCACGUG